rnacentral:lncRNA from 1 species
GUUCUGUGAUGUUGAACAAGUAACCUAGUCUCCAGGCCUCAGCUUUCUCAUCUGUAAAAUGGGGAUGUUAAUAAUAGGAUUUGCCUCCUAGGUUUCAGGAAGAUUAAAGGACUCAACACAUGGAAAGCAGUCAACCCAAUGCCUGCCCAUCUUGUGCACUCAGCACACAUCAGCUGUUCUUACUUCCGGGAGAGGUGGGGAAGAACUCCUGAAAUGCCUGUAAUGGAGAAUGCAUCGUGCCGUGUGGAGAUUACCCCAUUCUCAACAGGACUAGGGCUGUCGAUAUUUCCGCCUUUGUAGCAAGUGCCUAGCAUAGUGCCAGGCACACAGUGAGCACUCAGUAGAUGCUUGUUGAACUGAUCUGAACUGCCCUUGUUCACACCUUGUGAAGUCAGUCGCUCAGUCGUGUCUGACUCUUUGCAACCCCAUGGACUGUAGCCUGCCAGGCUCCUCUGGCCACGGGAUUUUCCAGGCAAGAGUACUGGAGUGGGCUGCCAUUUCCCUCUCCAGGUGUUCACACCUAGUGAGCUGCUAGCAGAUCCUGUUUAGACCUGUGGGCUGAUCCUGGCCUCACGUUUGUAAGAGGCAAACCCCAAGCAGAGCCAGUUUUCUGUGUCUGCCAUUCCAAGUCAGUCUGUCAGGAGCCGAGGGUGCCU